CUCACUCAGCGGCGCCACUGAGAGGGACGGGCGCCGGCCAUGGAGCGCACAGCAGGCAAAGAGCUGGCCCUGGGGCGUGGGGAUGCAGCAGGAGGACUCGGCCCGAGUCCGAGCGGCCAAGGAGGCUGAGGCCCCAGGACCUGUGCCCCUUUGGUGCCCUGAGUCCGCCUGUGCGUCCAGGCACCGCUGCAGGACUGGGGUGAAGAGACCGAGGACGGCGCGGUGUACAGUGUCUCCCUGCGGCGGCAGCGCAGUCAGCGCAGGAGCCCGGCGGAGGGCCCCGGGGGCAGCCAGGCUCCCAGCCCCAUUGCCAAUACCUUCCUCCACUAUCGAACCAGCAAGGUGAGGGUGCUGAGGGCAGCGCGCCUGGAGCGGCUGGUGGGAGAGUUGGUGUUUGGAGACCGUGAGCAGGACCCCAGCUUCAUGCCCGCCUUCCUGGCCACCUACCGGACCUUUGUACCCACUGCCUGCCUGCUGGGCUUUCUGCUGCCACCAAUGCCACCG
rnacentral:lncRNA from 10 species